GAGAGAAAGUGAGAUCUCUAAACUGAACCAAACUAGCAAACAGUGAAAGGGUAAAGGUUUUAGGUAAAACUGGGGACUUAAUGUGGCUAAGGGAAUGGUACGUGCAAAGACUUGGAUGUGGGCAGAGCCUCUGAACAUCUGACAAACUCUGAGGGCUCCAUGGUUUGGAGUCUACAGUAGAAAGGAGAAAAGAAAUAGUAAAAGAUGGGGCUGGAGAGAAAGUAAAGCCAGCUCGUUAACCAUUUAUUAGGUGAAGGAGUUUGGACAUUAACCUGAUGUCAACGAGGAGCAAACAAUUCAGAUUGUGGGAUCAGUGGACACAAUCCCCCUGUCCAGCAGAGCCAGGAACAGAAAAUUGAAAAGACGCCAUUGGAAAAUGGAGAAAAUGAAAAAAAUUAUGGAAAAACGUGGCCAGAUGUUGCUAUGCUUUGAUGAUCUAAGGGUCCAGCAGUGGAAGAACCAACCAGAUGUCCAGCUGCUUCGGAUCCUGACGAUGGGCGACACUAGGAAAAAAUAGCAUGAUGACUGACUGAACCUGAAAUUCCUAAACAAACAGUGCCUGCAGCCAAAGCUUCCAGAUAACGCUUUAUUGGAGGGAUUUAAUCCCAGGGAAAACGGAUUGAAAAAUUGGAAAGAAAGGCAGGGAAGAGCAAAUAUAACGUGGUGUGUUAACCAGCUGGCUACAGCUUCCCGAAAAACAUGUCUGCUUUCUCAGUCAAGUGUCAUGUCUCCAGAGACGUAUUAUGGAACCAUUGAGUUUCUGGUUGGCCCUUGUUUCCCUUCUCACUUGUUCAGUCAUCCCAAGGGGCACCGCCUCCCUGGCACUUCCGUGUUCUGUUGCAGCGUUUCCAGGCCCCCGCUGAAGAAGCCAGAGCUUCUGUGCGUGCAGUCUGGUCAGAGAAAGCACAGAAGGCUCUGUUGUCAGCUGGCACUGCCAGUGGGGGCUUCUAGUUCUGUGGCAGCUGGCAGCACUGCGGAAAGCAGCUGUGGCUAUUCGACUACUGGAGUGGCAUGAGACAACAGAAAGAUUGUCCUGGCCUAGAAGUAAGGCAAUUGGCUGAGGCCUGUCAGGAUGGCAGGUAAUCAUAUCUGGAAUAAAGAAUAAACUGAGUCUGGUGUAAUGAUACAACUCAAUCUGCUACCAAUUUACGCUCAAUGCAGAUCACUUUCAAAAUUGAAGGACAUAAUUCAGUGUAACUAAUUUUAAAAGGAAAAAUAAAGGUGUAGGAAGAGAGUUGGUGAAUAUUUGGGAGAGGAGGAAAGAGAAAAUAAAAAUGAACAUUUCAGAUAUCUUGCACUUGUGCUCAGAGUGAAAAUAUUUAUCAUUAUAUUUUGGACGCUGCAAUUUUUCUUCCCCUCUUUUCAAAUGGGGGCCAAGGAAUGUUCCCACAGAAGACGAAUCGGCUAAUCUCACAUCCAGGGGGAACUUUGGCUCAUAAUAUCCCAUGUUCACUUCCCUAUGUGUUAUUUUAUGUCCUACAGACUCAAGAAAUAGGCAGCUUUCACUGUGGGGACCACUUCCUCCUUCUCCUGCCCUGAUUUCUUUCUCGCUCUGCUGUCUCAAAAAAGAAAAUGAAAUAAACUAAAACAGGUACAAUUCCAUAGUUUGUUCUAUUGCUGAUAUCUCUCAAAUUAACAUAUCUUUUAAAAAAUAUUUUCUCUCUUUUUCUUGAUUUGUUUAAGUUUAUAUUGAGUAUAAUGCACAUAUAGAAAAAUGCACAAACCAGAAAUGUACAGCACCGUGAAUCAUCACAAAGCUAAGUAAAACCGAAGACAAAAAAUGAUACUGGCCUCCUGAUAUGGCCCCUGUCAAUCAUUAAUGCUCCUCCACUUUAUAAUUAUAAGUAAUAUAAUAAAGGAAUAAUAUAAUAAAUUUUUUUUAUAUAUUUAUACUAUAUAUGUAUAUAUAAAAGUAUUCAUCAUAAUCCUAGGUUCUAUCACUGUGGAUCAUUUUUGCCAGGAUUGUCUCUUUAUUUGCAUAGAAUCACACCAUUUGCAUUCUUAGUGUCUGGCUUUCUUUACACAGAACUACGUUUGUCAAAUUCAUCUAUGUUUUGCAUGUGUAACUCAUGUGGAGAUAGUAGUCCUUACCAUAGAUAUAUAAUAUUCCAUUGUAUGAAAAUACCAUAAUUUAUAUAUCCAUCCUACGUUUGAUGAAUAUUGGGUGGUUAAGGUUUUUAAUUAUCAUGAAGAAUGCCAUUAUGAAGAAGCUAUACAUGUCAUUUCCUGCAUAUGUGUCUGCAAUUCUGUUGGAUAUAGCCCCAAGAAUAAAAUUUUGGGUUGACAGAGUAUGUAUAUUUUUUAAUUCAGAAGAAAAUGCCAAAGAAUUUCCCACAAUACUUGUAGCAAUUUACACUCUAACCAGAAGAGUAUGAGUUCCCACUGCUUUUGAUAAAACUUGACCUGCAGACUUUUUGGCCGUUUUGCUGCAAGUUUAGUGGUACCCAUAGAGUGGUUUCACAGUGUGAUUAUCUUGCUUUGAACCCAUUUUCGUAACUUUACUGGUCAAUUAGAUAUUCUGGGUUUUGAUGCGCCUCUUCAAGACUUUCCCCCAUUAUUCU
ensembl:lncRNA